AUAGAGGCCUACCAUGGUGGUAACGGGUAACGGGGUGUUAGGGCACGACACCGGAGAGGGAGCCUGAGAAACGGCUACCACAUCCAAGGAUGGCAGCAGGCGCGCAAAUUACCCAAUUCCGACACGGGGAGGUAGUGACAAUAAAUAACAAUACGGGGUUCUUUCGGAUCUCGUAAUUGGAAUGAGUACAAUUUAAAUCUCUUAACGAGGAACAAUUGGAGGGCAAGUCUGGUGCCAGCAGCCGCGGUAAUUCCAGCUCCAAUAGCGUAUAUUAAAGUUGUUGCAGUUAAAAAGCUCGUAGUUGAAUUUCGGGGUUAGUAGGUUGGUCAUGCCUCUGGUAUGUACUGGUCUCACUGAUUCCUCCUUCCUUAUGAACCGUAAUGCCAUUAAUUUGGUGUUGCGGGGAAUUUGGACUGUUACUUUGAAAAAAUUAGAGUGUUUAAAGCAAGCUAACGCUUGAAUACAUUAGCAUGGGAUAAUGAAAUAGGACGUUCGAUCUUAUUUUGUUGGUUUCUAGGAUUGACGUAAUGAUUAAUAGGGAUAGUUGGGGGCAUUAGUAUUCAAUUGUCAGAGGUGAAAUUCUUGGAUUUAUUGAAGACUAACUACUGCGAAAGCAUUUGCCAAGGAUGUUUUCAUUAAUCAAGAACGAAAGUUAGGGGAUCGAAGACGAUCAGAUACCGUCGUAGUCUUAACCAUAAACUAUGCCGACUAGGG
rnacentral:rRNA from 1 species